CAUCAUACAAGAUUUUGGAACUGU
rnacentral:siRNA from 1 species